rnacentral:rRNA from 1 species
UACGGGGGGGGUAAGCGUUGUUCGGAAUUACUGGGCGUAAAGCGUGCGUAGGUGGUUUGUUAAGUCUGAUGUGAAAGCCCUGGGCUCAACCUGGGAAUGGCAUUGGAUACUGGCGAGCUAGAGUGCGGUAGAGGGUAGUGGAAUUCCCGGUGUAGCAGUGAAAUGCGUAGAGAUCGGGAGGAACAUCUGUGGCGAAGGCGACUACCUGGACCAGCACUGACACUGAGGCACGAAAGCGUGGGGAGCAAACAGG